GACGAACGCUGGCGGCGUGCUUCAUACAUGCAAGUCGAACGAGAAGCUGACUUCGGUCAGUGGAAAUUGGCGGACGGGUGAGUAAUAUGUAGGAAAUCUGCCUUUAGGAGGGGGACAACAGAGGGAAACUUCUGCUAAUACCCCAUAUGAACGUAGCUGAAAUGCUAUUCUUGAAAACUCCGGUGCCUAAAGAUGAGCCUGCAUCUGAUUAGCUAGUUGGUAGUGUAAUGGACUACCAAGGCGACGAUCAGUAGCUGGUUUGAGAGGAUGAUCAGCCACAAUGGGACUGAGACACGGCACAUACUCCUACGGGAGGCAGCAGUAGGGAAUUUUGCGCAAUGGGCGAAAGACUGACGCAGCAACGCCGCGUGAACGAUUAAGCCCUUCGGGGUGUAAAGUUCUGUCAGUGGGGACGAAACUUGACGGUACCCACAGAGGAAGCACCGGCUAACUACGUG
rnacentral:rRNA from 1 species